GAUGAACGCUGGCGGCGUGCCUAAUACAUGCAAGUCGAGCGAAUGGAUUAAGAGCUUGCUCUUAUGAAGUUAGCGGCGGACGGGUGAGUAACACGUGGGUAACCUGCCCAUAAGACUGGGAUAACUCCGGGAAACCGGGGCUAAUACCGGAUAACAUUUUGAGCCGCAUGGUUCGAAAUUGAAAGGCGGCUUCGGCUGUCACUUAUGGAUGGACCCGCGUCGCAUUAGCUAGUUGGUGAGGUAACGGCUCACCAAGGCAACGAUGCGUAGCCGACCUGGGAGGGUGAUCGGCCACACUGGGACUGAGACACGGCCCAGACUCCUACGGGAGGCAGCAGUAGGGAAUCUUCCGCAAUGGACGAAAGUCUGACGGAGCAACGCCGCGUGAGUGAUGAAGGCUUUCGGGUCGUAAAACUCUGUUGUUAGGGAAGAACAAGUGCUAGUUGAAUAAGCUGGCACCUUGACGGUACCAAACCAGAAAGCCACGGCUAACUACGUGCCAGCCGCCGCGGUAA
rnacentral:rRNA from 1 species